ACGAAUAUGCCGAAAUUGGUAGACGGGUGAGUUUUAGGAACUCAUAAUUACAAAGAUUGUAAGGGUUCAAGUCUCUUUAUUCGUA
rnacentral:tRNA from 1 species